rnacentral:rRNA from 1 species
CCCGCUCAGAAACUUAAAGGAAUUGACGGGGCCCGCACAAGCGGUGGAGCAUGUGGUUAAUUCGAAGCAACGCGAAGAACCUUACCAGGCCUUGACAUCCUUUGACAGUCCUGGAAACAGGAUUUUCCCGACUCUGUCGGGACAGAGUGACAGGUGCUGCAUGGCUGUCGUCAGCUCGUGUCGUGAGAUGUUGGGUUAAGUCCCGCAACGAGCGCAACCCUUGUCUUUAGUUGCCCAUAUUAAGUUAGGCACUCUAAAGAGACUGCCUCGGUUAACGGGGAGGAAGGUGGGGAUGACGUCAAGUCCUCAUGGCCUUUAUGCCCAGGGCUACACACGUGCUACAAUGGGCGGUACAAUGGGCUGCAACGCCGCGAGGCGAAGCCAAUCCCAAAAAGCCGUUCUCAGUUCGGAUUGGAGUCUGCAACUCGACUCCAUGAAGUCGGAAUCGCUAGUAAUCGUGGAUCAGCAUGCCACGGUGAAUACGUUCCCGGGCCUU